AAUAUUACCCGGAUGUCCAUGCCGAUGUCCAAUAGGCCGACCACCGUGAGUGGGUGAUUGAUGAAGAAAAAAAGCUAUCAAACUUCCAUCAUUUGUGUGGCUCUGUGGAAUUACUGGCCGCAAUAGGCAGAAAGCGGGUGUUAGCGAGAGAUAUUCAGUAGCGACCAGAUUACAUUUCUGCCCGUAGCAGCACAAACACGGUAGCCCCAUAUUUAUCAACGAGGUGCUGCAUGUAAUCAUCGGUCCCGAAACGUUGACAAGGAAAAGGCACCGAUCGUGAACACUUUGCGCCCGCCCUCAGUUAGGCAAACGCGCACACACACACACCCACACACUGCCAUCGCGGUUUUCUUUCACAUCCCUGUGAAAAGCCACAAACCACAGACGACCGGCCAGGAGCAACAGGAGCAGCAAUAUGCAAGCGAUCAAAUGUGUUGUCGUCGGUGACGGUGCCGUCGGUAAGACGUGCCUGCUGAUCAGCUACACAACAAAUGCAUUUCCCGGCGAGUACAUCCCGACCGUGUUCGAUAACUACUCCGCGAACGUGAUGGUCGACGGCAAACCGAUCAACCUCGGUCUGUGGGAUACGGCCGGACAGGAGGAUUACGAUCGGCUCCGGCCCCUAUCCUACCCGCAGACGGACGUAUUUCUCAUUUGCUUUUCGCUCGUCAAUCCGGCCUCGUUUGAGAACGUGCGAGCAAAAUGGUACCCGGAGGUGCGUCACCACUGUCCGAACAUACCGAUCAUACUGGUCGGGACGAAGCUUGAUCUGCGGGAUGACAAAAACACGGUGGACAAGCUGCGCGACAAGAAGCUGUCACCGAUCACGUACCCGCAAGGGUUGGCAAUGGCGAAGGAGAUUGGCGCGGUCAAGUACCUCGAGUGUUCCGCAUUGACGCAGAAGGGCCUGAAGACGGUGUUCGACGAAGCGAUCCGGGCGGUCCUCUGUCCGAUGAUACCGCCGAAGAAGAAACCCAAGUGUAACAUCCUCUAAAGAUUGUUCGGUUUAUUUUCUGUUUUUUUAAAAAGGCAAACAAAACACAAAACAAACACAGAAGAAGAAGAAAAAAGAAUACAAUCGCGCUUUUGCCUAGCUCUCCUUCCAUCAUCAUCCCCCCCUUGGUCUGUGCCGCCGCCGCCUCCCCCAUUCCUGGGGUUGGUGUAGGUGUGUAUGAAGAACGUUCUUCCAAGUGGCACAUUCACCCGUUCCUGUGUUCCCACCAUCUGCGGCGUCUCUCUCUGUCUCUCUCUCUCUCGCCCUCUCCCAGUAAAACGUAUUGUAGGGAAGAAGUAAAAAAACAAAACGAGUUAAAGAAGCACAGGACACACAACACACGUGGAAGAAAUCAUACUAUCAGCGCAAACAAAAACCUCCCUCUCCCAGAAGCACAAUCAGAAUCGGCAAGAUAUCGGCCAAAGCUCCUUCGGGUGAAAUUUAUGGUUCCUCUGCAACAGGAGACACGAAGCAUUGUACUGUAAUAGGAAUGAUAAAUGGAACAAAACAUCUUUCACCAACAAGGCCAUCUACGCGAGAACAGAGCAAAAAAAAAAACAAAAAAGAAGACAACAAAACGGUAGAAUGCAAUUCACAAUGCGAUUCCAUCAUCGAGCCAUCGUUCGUUCACACAUAAUCAUUUCCCGGCUCAUGCUCAUUAUCGUCUUUUAUCAUACGCAUAUGGUUGGCGCCCAUCAGCCGUGUGGCGUGACCUUCCCCUGUCUGUACUGUGUUCAGUUGAUUUUUAUUGAGUUUAGUUUUAUUUUGUUAAUACACCAUCUUGCUGCCCGGUACAACCCGGAAGAAAAGGUUGUGAAGUACUGAGAUGCAAUAGUGUGCCGAGUAUAGUGGGCUUUGUAGUGUAUGCCCCAAAACAAAAAGCGGAAGCACAAUUCAUGCAAACAAUGCGUGUAAGAACGUGACUAGGAAUGAGACACAACAUUGCAAUGGACAGCGUAUCGGUCUGGUAUUGGAAGAAGGCAGCAUUUAUCCGUGUACCGGGAGCAGAUCAUAGCGAUUAGGCGGGACAGUUUCCACCUACACCUUCGUCUGCAUGGAUUUGCACAAGAUCUAGCCCUCCCCACCCCUGCAGCGUGGAUAGUGCGCCCCGUAUUGGUUGGUUUAACUCAAAAGAUAAACUUCAAAGGAUCGAUCUGCUUCACACAUACUUACGAGGCGCAAAAAAGUGAAGAGCAAAAAAAAAAGGCCAAAAACGGUUUAUGUGAUUAGUAACUACGACACACGAUCGUAAGGAACCAAUGUCACAAUUUAUGGUUCUAGUAGUAGGUCCGUUUUAUUCAAAUUUUGCAGAUCAAAGCAGAAAUUACUUUUCAUGCCAUUGUAGUCUUUGUUUUAUAGAAUUUGUAAACAGAUCGCUUAGGGACACGCAAGCAACAGCAGUAGUUCAAAUCGCGCACAUGAUUUCUGUUUCGUUAUAACCCGUCUGGUAUGUUAAUGCUAUCGAGAAGAAUAUUGUGAUGAAAGUUAGGUAAUUUUUUGCCAGAUUAUUUAGUUUACCUUCAAUUAAGCUGAAAUUUUAGAAUUUCCCGCUACGAGAAAAGAUUGUGAAGCUUAUUUUAAAUUGUAUUUUAAGCAUGUUUCAUGCUUGAUUUGGCCUUACUGUCCAUUGAAUUAUUGUACGUACUUGGUACUAUCAGGAAUGAAGUACAUUUCGUAUUAUGUUAUUUUAUGUUUUAUUUUUUUUUCAUUUUAUGUAGUUUUACCAAAAAUUAUGUCACACACAUAAUUUUUCUGUAUGAAUUGUUGCUACCGAUAAUCAAGCAGGGAGGAAAGCAAUAGAAUCAUGGCAAAGUCGAACACACUUGAAACACACUUAAUACACUUAACACACACACACAAACUGUUUAACGAAAUUCAUUCACAUGUAAAUGCGCCGUUUCACUGGGAGAGAAGAUUAUGUGCUGGAUUGAGCAGAAGAACCAUAAGAAGGAGAGUUAGGAAUCGGGUUGCGACAAGCGUGGUGUUAGAUGUUAGUAGGAAAACGGGGAAAAUCCCAUUACAAUUACACUACGGAACAGAAACGAAACAAAAACAAAAAAACAAACAAAAUUGCAUAUAUACAAGCGAGGUAGAAGCGUUACAGAAACAAACCUAAAAUCAAACAAACUAUGUAAGAUAGGUAUGUGUGUGUGUAUGAGUGUGCGCGUGUGUAUGUGUAAAACGAAUACACAACAAUUCGAAAACUGGUCGAAAGGACAACACACGUCCAUGUAUGCCUGCGUAUGUAUGCGUGUGUGUGUAUGCAUGUGUGGUGAUUGUUCUUUAGAAAUAAUGGCAUAAGAGUUGAAACCUUCCCAAAUCGAAUUACGAUCACGAUCAUACAAGCGCAAAUCUUGCAGCCCAGAUGUUAUACAACACAACUUUGGCAAAUCUGUUUUGUUUCUAAUUCUUCAACCAUUUAUCCGAUCGAAUGAAGUUUUCGGUCUAGUCGAGAUUAAAGAAUGAGGGUCGUGGUCGUUUUAUUGCGACCGGUAGAAUUGUCGAGUCCACGACACGGUAGUAAUUGAAUAUUGUUGGCCACUAUUUCCUACUAUCACGGAACAAUCAUUUACUGUACAUCUCAUAUGUUCAGCUGCUUCCCUACUAUCCCCCAAAAAAAAAAAAGAAGCUUUUUGGACAUAUGGCCAUAGGCAAACUUCCGAACGCAAAACGCAAAAAUUGUCCUUAUAUGCAUCUGUUUUUUUAAAUAUGUUCUUUCACUCUCUCUCUCUCUCUUUUAAUCGCGGUGUAAAAGUGUAUAGAUGUUUUGUUGUCCUGCUGCGAAUGCGCUUUUUGUAAUCGCUGUAUAUGUGUCUGUAUGUAUGUAUGUGUGUGUGUGUGUGCGUGUUGUGUUGCUCUUUUGCAUACCGAUAAAUCUCGGCGAGAAGGCGCAACGCACAAACCUCCUCCACCCCUUCACGUGUUCUAAACCGCGUAAACACAAAAGAAAAAGAAAUAGUGGCAAACAAGAUGCAAAAAAGAAAGAAACCCCCGUAACCAAAAUAGCUGUUAAAAUGCGAUCGGAAAACUUAGUCUAUAUAAUUAAAGAAAAGUAUCCUUUCGGAUCUUUGAGGGGCGGGGGGAGGUCAUGUUUGCGAUGAUGAAAAAUUAUAGCUAACAGACUAUUCUUACCCAGAAAGGGAUAUCCGUGUGUGUGUGGGUGCCACAGCAGACGCAAUAGAAGGUGACCACACAAAUGGGAGGGUUUUGGAGGAGAAAAAAAACUUUAUAACAAAGUGUAAUGCAUUAAUAUUAGGUAGGCUGAGAUAUAUAGGCGUGCGCUUUUCCUGCGUUUUUGUUUUCAAAAAACUAACAGAUGGGAAAGUGUAGAUUAAUACAUUUGUGAGAGAAGAAAAACAAAAAACAAACAGACAAAAAAACUCCCUCAUUGCUCCCAUCUCUAGGAACAGAUUUAUACAAAAGUGGUAAAAAAAAACAAAAGGAAGAACCCACAGAACGAACAUAUACACCACAUAUUCCUGACACACAACACGACAAACACAUGCAAAAUUUUCACAGAAACAAAAAAAAAUAUGUAAGGUGUCAAAAAAACGAUGUUUUAAUCCAAUGAGGAAGAAACAAAUUGAAACUCCUCUGUACGGAGGGGGAGAUAUCAGUACCGGAGACAAAGAAAAGGAUGAUGUUAAACAAUUAGAGUGUGAAGCUACCGAAAAUUUUACGCUGGUUCCGUUACCUUCCAGCUUCACUGUUUUUUUUUUCUUUCCUUUUCUUUCUAGCAAGAUAGAAAAACGGAAACAUCGCGAACAAAAAAAGAAAACCAAAACCAAAAUAAAACAGAUAGCAAACCCCGAAAGGUAAACGAGAAACACAAACAAACAAACAAACAAAACAAAACAAAAUCUUCAUACUAACAGCUAAAACUUUGUUGCAAUCAGAAGAGAGAAAGCGGGAGAGAAGUAAAAAAAAAAAGAAAACCGAUACCGAAAGAAGAAAAAGCAAAGGACCGGUGCCGGUGCGAGAAAAGAAAAGAAUUAUUGAUAUAACACUUUUUAAUAAGUAAUGGAUUAUUAUGAUUAUGAUUAUUAUUAUUAUUAUUGAGUAAUUAAUAAAACAAAGAUAAAAUACUAAAAACAAAAAACCGAGGUUUAUCCCGUCCACAGAUGAUUCGGUCCACACAGCGUGUUAUCGUUUUAGGGAGAAAAUUGGAGAAAAUUUUUGCAUUUAUACUUUUGUUUUGCUUCUGUUGUUUCAGUUUGUUAGUUUGGUUUUACCUUCCCCGUGGAAGAUGUAGCGUAACGUGUCCUUCACCAGGACGUUACUGCAUUGCUGCAUCGAUGAUUCAAACGUGUCGCCAUCAUGAAAUCGUUCGCAUCGUUCCCUUAUCGUUCAUCAUCAACCAAAUCAUCUCACACACCGCCAUCGGCUCUUUAGUAUGGACAAUCGAACAACUUGGCUUCAUUUAUCAUUCACGCACAGUGCUGCGCACAUAUUGGAGGGAUGAAGAUAAUGGGUCCCCUUCUAGUAGAGCACCAAAACGCUUCACGCCCUUUUCGGCCCAUUCUAUCUGGCGGGGCCAACCAUUGUGGCGUUUGUUUUCGUACUAAAAACGGCCGAUACUUAUUAUGGAGGUGGAAAAGGUGGACGGAAUGGACGCAAACGACCUAAUGUGGAGUAUGAACGGAAGGAACGCACAACCUUUGGAACAGGAGCAGAUUCUACGCAACAUCAACUAUCAACGCUGAACUCGAUAUGGCACAAUACAAAAAUCACUAUAUACUGUAUUAUUCGCACUUUAGGCGUGAUUUAUCCCUCUGUACUGUUGAACACUGUUUUCCAAAUCUAAAUAACUGUCUGAAACAUAAUGGCUAAAAUUAUACGCUCGACACACUGUAGGCGCCUGUAGAGAUUGAAAAAAUAACGUUUAGCUUGGUUAAAAUUUUACUGAAGUAUUAGUAUAUAAGUAUAUUAUUAUCAUUUAUAGCUUAUGGCUGGUUUUUGUUUACCGCUGCGUGAGCCUACGGUAGUAUGUAAUACUUUCUUAAACAGGUGAAUUUACCCAACAAAGGUUUUUGGAGAAAUUGGACCAAAUUAUUGUAUUAUCCCUGUCACAUCGUAUACUACUAGAAAGUGAUCUUAGAACAAAAUAUUGCUUACUUUCCGGAGCCAGAGGAUCAUGACAAAAUCGAAAGAGAUAGAAACAUAUUCACAACUUGUGAUGUUUGAUUUUAGCUCAAUUUAAUAUUUUAUUUAUCAUUAACUAUACUGUUUUGCUUUGAUUGAGGUUAUCGUAGGGUGUCUGGCUUUUGAAAACUGUGAUAAUUGUCACUAGAGCACGCCAGGAGACAUGGAAACAAAACGAAACAUCUAUCAAUUGCAUACUUUAUGGAAAGUUCUAAUAUUGCUCACCUUUUGUUGGUGGAUAAAAAUGGAUAUAUUGGAGUUAUCGUGGUCUGUUGGUCACUUUACGAGAAUCUAAGCAAUUAUUUGAACAAAUCAAGCGCAAAAUUUGUUUACGUAUAUUUUUAUUUAUUUAUUUUACUUGUUUGUAGUGAUUUAGAUAAUAUUUUUGUUAUAACUUUAGUUGGCAAAGUUUGUUUUAGUUUUCAAACUAUUUCCAUUUUUGUUUAGUAUUCAAUCUAGACUACUAGCAAUGUACCAGAAAGAUAGCACAACUUCUUUGCUGACGAACAACAAUUCAAUCAAAAAUUAAUACCAUUUCUAAACGUAUUGAAUAAUACAAAAUAGAAGAAAAAAUUACCCUUCUUUCAAA